rnacentral:rRNA from 1 species
GACAGAGGUCCCGAGCGUUAGGCGGAAUUACUGGGCGUAAAGCGUACGCAGGCGGCUUUGCAAGACAGGUGUGAAAUCCCCGGGCCUAACCUGGGAACUGCAUUUGUGACUGCAUAGCUAGAGUUUGUCAGAGGGGGGUGGAAUUCCACGUGUAGCAGUGAAAUGCGUAGAUAUGUGGAGGAACACCGAUGGCGAAGGCAGCCCCCUGGGAUGUGACUGACGCUCAUGUACGAAAGCGUGGGGAGCAAACAGG